UAAAUUGCACAAGCCUACUAGAAGUUUUGCAAUUCUCAGUGUUAUCUCUACCACUGAAACGAAUUUUAGAUGUAUUUUUAAAGCCACCGAUGUAUCACAACUGAAUCACUGAGCAAACAUCAGGAUCCAGAGCCUCAACACCACCGCCCCGUCAGCCUCCACCCCUGCCUCUCUAAGGUCGGCAUCCUACCUAUCUGGAUGUUUCAGACAGUUCAACAUACAAUGUUGCAGAGUUGCGAGGACCAUUGUGGCUGGGAAAGAUGUUUUCUUCCUCACCGUGAAAACAGUUCAAGGGAAAAGCAUUUUCCAGCGGGGUGGACGCAAGUUCUGCCAGUGAAGCUGAAGCAACUGACAAUCCGGGAACCAGGACCUUAGGGUGGGGGGGAAGGACCGUGGGGCCAUGGUUGGAUCCAGGAACCUCCCUGCAAUUAAAAUCAAUUGAAGCAA